UCCUGGAUGAUGGAUGACCGGCGGAUCAUCUGCUACUAGAGGAUGGGCCUGCGGCGCAUUAACUAGUUGGUGGGGUAACGGCCCACCAAGGCGACUAUGCGUAUCCGACCUGAUAGGGUGAACGGCCGCACUGGGACUGAGACACGGGCCAUACUCCUACGGGAGGCAUCACUAGGGAAUCUUCCGCAAUGGGCGAAAGCCUGACGGAGCUCGCCGCGUGAGUGAUGAAGGUUUUCGGAUCAUAGUCUCUGUUGCGGGGAUGCCGUACGGUAGAGUCCUGCUGGAGGAGUGAUCUACCUGA
rnacentral:rRNA from 2 species